UACGUAGGCAGCAAGCGUUGUUCGGAGUUACUGGGCGUAAAGGGUGCGUAGGCGGUUCGUUAAGUCUGUCGUGAAAUCCCCGGGCUCAACCUGGGAAUGGCGAUGGAUACUGGCGAGCUAGAGUGUGUCAGAGGAUGGUGGAAUUCCCGGUGUAGCGGUGAAAUGCGUAGAGAUCGGGAGGAACAUCAGUGGCAAAGGCGGCCAUCUGGGACAACACUGACGCUGAAGCACGAAAGCGUGGGGAGCAAACAGG
rnacentral:rRNA from 1 species